GUUCAGGAGCUCCAAAGAGCCAAAACCCUAACUCAACUAUAACCAUCAAAUUGAAGGGUGAAUCAAGGCUUAAAUUCACAACUAAACAUGGAUUAAUGAUCACCUUUACAAGGGGAUCAUAAGUAUAGGGAUCAUGUCAAGAUGGAUGGAAGCAUGGAAGGCUAACGGGUCAAAAGGAGGCGAGGAAACGGAUGCGAAUACGGACACUUAAGGUUAAUCAGAUAUUCAUGAUGGGCAUGUGAACGAGGAUCAAGUUGAAGAUCAUGGAUUGUACGGGAAAGUGGUCACG